CAGGUAGAGGAUCCCAUAUUCUUGUUCAGUUGCUGUAUUUUCAUGCUGCAAGGCUGCUGUGGAUAAGAAGUCAGAUACUGCUGAAAAAUCUGUCCAGCAACCAGAAAAGGCAGGAAAGGACAUGUGACCUUAGGGAAAGUAUGUAUAAGGACGCGGCUCUGUUAGCCCAUCCUAGUGGCAGACUGUGUCCACAUAUCAUCAGAUCAAGAAAGAAGACAGAAGACCUGCCUGUGACUUACCAUCAUGAGCCUGAUCCUGUUGUGAUGUGGCUACUGGUCAGCGAGUUCCUGAUUCCCAGCUCCUGGUUUCUGUGGAGGUUCCUGGCUCCCGAGUCAUGGUUCCCGGUCCGACAUCCUUGUUCUUGCACAGAGACAGUACAGUAGUAACCCUUUUGUGUAUUUGAAACACUUCAUUGUGUUGAUUUCUGGGUCCAGACUUCAAGCCCUUUGUAUUAAACCUUCUGUGUCAUUUUGUGAUAAUAAAUUCCCUUUGUUUAAGUUUA